UGGGGAAUAUUGGACAAUGGGCGCAAGCCUGAUCCAGCCAUGCCGCGUGAGUGAUGAAGGCCUUAGGGUUGUAAAGCUCUUUCGGCGGGGACGAUAAUGACGGUACCCGCAGAAGAAGCCCCGGCUAACUUCGUGCCAGCAGCCGCGGUAAUACGAAGGGGGCUAGCGUUGCUCGGAAUCACUGGGCGUAAAGGGCGCGUAGGCGGACAUUUAAGUCGGGGGUGAAAGCCCAGGACUCAACCCUGGAAUUGCCUCCGAUACUGGGUGUCUCGAGACCGGAAGAGGUGAGUGGAACUGCGAGUGUAGAGGUGAAAUUCGUAGAUAUUCGCAAGAACACCAGUGGCGAAGGCGGCUCACUGGUCCGGUUCUGACGCUGAGGCGCGAAAGCGUGGGGAGCAAACAGGAUUAGAUACCCUGGUAGUCCACGCCGUAAACGAUGGAUGCUAGCCGUUGGCAGGCUUGCCUGUCAGUGGCGCAGCUAACGCUUUAAGCAUCCCGCCUGGGGAGUACGGCCGCAAGGUUAAAACUC
rnacentral:rRNA from 1 species